GUCUAAUGGUUUGACGAUCUUUACCCACUGGCCAUGUGGUGCAUUCAUUACAGUUCUAAUACUCUGAGAGCACAUCCAUUGGAGUGGUCCUACUAGCUAGCACGGUGCACUGGACACAAUGGACCAACACUCUGACUCAGGGGAAAGGUACAGGACACCUCCAUUAACUUCACUGUUUGCAGGUGGUUGCAGGCACAUUUUGAGGAAAGUGUUGGAGCUGAAGAGGGCGCUGGACUCUACUACCACUGUGUUAUAAAAACAUCGCGAGCUUUCCACUGUGUUGCAGAAACAGCGCGAGAUAAUCUCAAGUUGAUCAGUCAAAGAUCUACAAGAUGAUGCCCGAAUCGCUUACUAUCUCGAAAAUUUGGGUGUGAUCUGCUUCUGUCAAGUGGAACUGUAUGUACUAGGUGUGGCUUAUAUACAAAUGUGAUCUCGUGUGUGACUGUGAACGAAGAAACACUUGCAGUGGCCCAGCUCUACCAAGCUUCCUAAGCUAGUAUUGCUGGAUCACAGAUGCGUGUGAUUCUCAGGUGGUGGAGCAGUCAACCAAACGUACGUGUCACAAGAAACAGUCUGAUGUUGGGUUUCCACCAUGGCAGAGCCAGACACCACACUCGUUACAUCUGUCAGUCCUCUUGUUGGAGUCCUUCCAGCAGAACGCACACCAUCCCCGUUUACAUCUCUUUGCAGGUGGUUGCAGGCACAUGUUUUGACAACAUACUCACCAAGUCCAACCUGUCUCUUCUUUUGCUUCCCCGUGUAUAUGUCAAAUUUGUGGAAAUAGCCGUUAGCACUAUCUGCCAAUACCCAUACCUUGAUCCCCCGUUUGAUCAGUUUCAUAGGCAUAUUAUAUUGCUUUAAGGAAGACUGCCCCUGAAACUUAAUCAUUGCUUCGUCCACUGCUACAUUCUGUGUAGGGUUGUACAAAGCUUCGAACCUCUCACCCAGGUGCUCAAUGAGGGGGCGGAUCUUCCCUAACCGAUUGUACGAGGGGUCACCUCGUGGAACAAGAUGGUCGUUGUCCACGAAGUGCAGAUACUGGGAGAUAUCACGGAAUCUCUGCCUUGAGAUUACAUCGGCGAUGGGUGCAUAGUGGUCUCGGCUCCAAUAGUCAUUGAUCGAUGGCAGGUGAUUGAGUCCCAUGAGGAUGGAGAAUCCGAAGAAGGCCCAGAGCUCUUAAACUGUGUGUUGAGUCCACGUUCGGUAUGCCUCCUCUCCCAUUACAUGUCUAGCGUAGUUGUUGCUCUCACACACAAUGUGUUCCUGCAGACCAUUGUUAAAAAAUAGUAGAAAACACUUCUUCUGGCCUCUCGGAGAUGUCCACUGUUGGUCCUACUGCUGACUCAAAUGACUUGAUAGUCAGGGUGUGCAAUUCACUCCUCCAGGAUUGCUGUCUGUUGACGGGGGCUCCAUUUCUACAUGUACGUUGUAAUAAAUUAUAUCGGUAUUCAGUUUAGUUUUAGACCCCACCUUCAUCCCAAUCAGAAAAUUCUUCGUCACUGCCCUGCAUGACUGGCUCAUCCCUGUCCGCUGUUACCUCUUCCAUAUCCUCUUCCCACUCCUCUGCAGGUUCCUCAUCAUUCAAGAUGUCUUGUAGAACCUCCUCCGUGGUCCAGUGUGGCCUCUUGGCCAUGCCUGCAGCUCUAUAUUAUUAUUAAAAAAUGUUUUUUCAUGUUAUAAAUAUUUUGUGUUUGUUGGGUGGUAUAAAAACAACAGUAGUAUUCAAGCGUCUGUAUCAAAAAAAUUUCUGUAUGAUAUAAGCUUUUUACUUUAUAAUUUUAUGGGUACCUUGACGGUGGAUAGAAUUAGAAGGCGUCCUAGCUUCAGUCCAGCAGCAACCCCACCCAGAUUCUUUAGCAGCCAAGAGAAGCAGGACUGCUGCAGCUGAAGCCUAUUGGUAAGGUAGAGAUGUCAGAUUGAAAGUAGUGAGUGGGAGUAUUUUUGUACAGUAAAUUCAAUGGUAAGAAAAGGGACCAGAAAGUGAGUGAACAAGAAGGGCUUUCCACAGCAAGCCCUGGAAGAGUCUAGCAGACAACAGCUGUUCCCAGGGGUAAAAAAUAGUGUAGAAUUUAAUUUUUAGAAAAGUUUUGCAAUUUGGUGUUUGUUUUGUGUGUGAUUUUUUCUCAAAGGUGAUCAUCAUUAAUUUUUGGCAACCAAAUAUUGUGCAAGGAAACUACUGGUGGUGGUCCUUCUGUGGAUGAUUUGAUUGGUUGUUGUGGUUGCGAAAUUUUGUUGCAUAGUCUGGUUUGGUGAUGAUGUGUGAUUUAAUUAUAAUGAUUUGUCUGGUCAGGAGUGCAUUCAUUCCUGGUCUGGUAUUAUGAUGAUAAUAAUGAUCUGAAUUAAUUGGUGGUCUUCACUGUUGAAUUGAUUUGCACAGCACAAACAGCUAUGGGUGUAAUUUUGUUGUCUGGUGUUAUAAUAUUAUGUAUUGUGUGUGUAUUGAUAAUACUAGGCUGAUGGUUGUCAGCUGUGGUGGUGAUUGGCUGGUAUUGUAUUGUGUGGAGUGGAUGGUUUUGUUUGAACUGCGCUCUCAAUGUAACCAUGCAUUUGCUUGUUCUCUUGCAGCCACAAUGCACACACACAGCUCCUCCUACUAGAUACUGUACUAGUGUUUCAUUCUCUCACUGCUUUUGUCUCCUCUCUCCCCCAGGUACAAACAAGCCAUGCUGCUCUGGGACCCAGGGAGGAUUACUAACCUCAUCACUGUAUAAUGUAGGUACUGAAGGGGGUGGGGCUUGACUGGAGAUGUGGGGGAGGGGCUCAGAUCUCAACGCCCACUACUAUCAUUUAUUAGUGCUCUUGACUGUUUUGUGUGGAGACAUCAAAGAUAAGUAAAGAUAAGUAAGUAUGGCUGGCUUCUUUGGUGUGUAGGUCGAUGUCUCUUCACAUCAAAAGAUAAGUAGCUCCAUUGUGUAUAGUGUCUCUCAUACUCUCUGUGUAGGUUGAUUGUGUGUGGAGGAGCCACUGUAACAGCAUACACACAAAUGAGUAGCUAGCUAUGUUGUGUGGCAAGUCUCUCAUAAUUAUGCUCUCUGUGUAGGUUGAUGGUCGUGUAUAUAUUGAUGGACAAGGCGAUGGUUUGAUGGUCUGGCACUACCUAACACUGAAUGGCUGCUGUACUUGUUCCUUGGUCUAGAGGGGGGUCUGGGGGUCCUUUCCCGGAAAAAUUGUUGAGGAAUGGUUAUCUGAGGUGAUAGCUGAGGAGAAUGCCAGAAGACCCAACAGUGUCACCAAGUGUUUCACACACAUGCUCGUAGAGUGGUUGCAAGGUGGUCCACAACUGGAGGACUUGUUGACAGCUCUAGAGUCUCCCGUUAUCAGUAGAGCUGACAUUGCUGAGGAACUCAAGGGAAGACUGCAAGUGACUCUAGCCUGACAAUAUCCUCUAGCCAUUAUAAACUGUGACUGAUGGUAUUUAUUUUUUUAUUUGUUCUUUAUCAAUUACUAGUGUUUGUGUGGUGACUACUAGCACUCUAUCCACCAUAAUUAUACCUGAUGUGAAUGCUUUG